GUUAAUAGUAUUGGAAGCUGUCAAUGGAAAUGGAAGUCACAAUGUGCAACUGAGGUACAAGGAUUCUGGUGUGGAGAUAAGUGAGGAGACAUAUAGGAACAUUAAAGGAACAUCUGCUUCAAAAAUAACAGUCACAGUAACUGUAGUCCUACAACUCCAUACCGAGCUAUGAUGGAGAAUGUUCAGCUUACUUACAUGAACCAGCUGGCUCAAGCCUCAUGCACCCAUGUACAGGGGACCUCUACUGGUGUACUUAAUCCACCAAGUUGCUUGUGAAAACAUCAAUUCUUUGUUCAUGUAAUUAUAUCCAUUCAAUGCAAUUGAAAAUUUGUUUCUUAGUAACCCUUCACUACAA